rnacentral:lncRNA from 1 species
GGUUGGGCGUGAGAUGAUUCAUUUUCUCAUCUCUCCCGAAAAACUUUUCUCUCUCGCUCUCGGAGGCGAUUUCUCGUGCGACGCCUACUGCCGGAGCUUCUCUCCAUCUAAUCGACGACGGACUGUUUCCUCCACGAUCUCAGGUCAUAAACGCGUUGAUUCACGGUUAAAUUGAAUCGAUUUUUUGGGCUCGAAAGCGAUUUCUGGGUUUCGAAUUCGAUUUGGGGGUUUCGAGGUAGGGUUCUAAAUCGGUAUGGGGUUUCGAUUUAUGGUUCUAAAGCGUCAAGUGGGUUUGAUUUAGGGUUCGUUUAUCAGGGAUUCAAAAUCGAUUUGGGGGUUUCGAGUUAGGUUCGUAAUCGAUUUGGGGGGUUUCGAGUUAGGGUUCGUAAUCGAUUUGGGGGUUUGGAGUUAGGGUUCUAAAUCGUCUUGGGGGUUUCGAUUAAUGGUUGUAAAGCGUCAUGCGGGUUUGAUUUAGGGUUCAUUUAUCGGGGAUUCGAAAUCGAUUUGGGAGUUUCGAGUUAGGGUUCUAAAUC